rnacentral:rRNA from 1 species
AAGUCAGGCAACGAGCGAGACCCACGCCAACAGUUGCCAGCUCGUCCUCCGGGAUGGUGGGGACACUGUUGGGACCGCCUCUGCUAAAGAGGAGGAAGGAAUGGGCAACGGUAGGUCAGCAUGCCCCGAAUUAUCUGGGCUACACGCGGGCUACAAUGGGUGGGACAAUGGGUAUCGACACCGAAAGGUGAAGGCAAUCUCCUAAACCCAUCCGUAGUUCGGAUUGUGGGCUGCAACUCGCCCACAUGAAGCUGGAAUCUGUAGUAAUCGUGUCCCAAAAUGGCACGGUGAAUAUGUCCCUGCUCCUU